AUGUUGUAUAAAAGGAGAGAAGGUUAGCACUCCUCUUUACAAGGAUGGAAGAGACCCUUGGGCCUGACAGCAUGCAUACAGUUAAGGCAUUGCCACUACUUCAUGGUCUCUAACCAUUGUUUUUA